UCCAGGGUGUAAACGCUGCUUGCUUGAUGUUAGUUGGGCUCCGAGCCCAAUUAGUGUCGGAGAGAAGUUGUUAAGCAAGCUGCCUGGGAAGUACGGUCGCAAGGCUGAAACUUAAAGGAAUUGGCGGGGGAGCACAGCAACAGGUGGAGCGUGCGGUUUAAUUGGAUCCAACGCCGGAAAACUCACCGGAGGCGACGGUUACAUGAAGGCCAAGCUGAUGACUUUGCCCGAUU
rnacentral:rRNA from 1 species